CAAUGAAAGAUGUAUAGUAACGUGCACAUAAAUUGAAUUGGAUCUCUAGACCUACCCUCUCUAAUACCAUUUGGCUUUGAUUUGGGGGCAUGGUUCCGCAACAAAAUA